GAUGAACGCUGGCGGCGUGCCUAAUACAUGCAAGUCGAGCGAAUGGAUUAAGAGCUUGCUCUUAUGAAGUUAGCGGCGGACGGGUGAGUAACACGUGGGUAACCUGCCCAUAAGACUGGGAUAACUCCGGGAAACCGGGGCGAAUACCGGAUAACAUUUUGAACCGCAUGGUUCGAAAUUGAAAGGCGGCCUCGGCUGUCACUUAUGGAUGGACCCGCGUCGCCCGAGCUAGUUGGUGAGGUAACGGCUCACCAAGGCAACGAUGCGUAGCCGACCUGAGAGGGUGAUCGGCCACACUGGGACUGAGACACGGCCCAGACUCCUACGGGAGGCAGCAGUAGGGAAUCUUCCGCAAUGGACGAAAGUCUGACGGAGCAACGCCGCGUGAGUGAUGAAGGCUUUCGGGUCGUAAAACUCUGUUGUUAGGGAAGAACAAGUGCUAGUUGAAUAAGCUGGCACCUUGACGGUACCUAACCAGAAAGCCACGGCUAACUACGUGCCAGCCGCCGCCGUAA
rnacentral:rRNA from 1 species